rnacentral:rRNA from 1 species
AUUGAACGCUGGCGGCAUGCUUUACACAUGCAAGUCGAACGGUAGGGUAGCAAUACCUGAGAGUGGCGAACGGGUGAGUAAUGCAUCGGAACAUGCCUAUUUGUGGGGGAUAGCCCGGCGAAAGCCGGAUUAAUACCGCAUACGAUCUACGGAUGAAAGCUGGGGACCGCAAGGCCUAGCGCAAAUAGAGUGGCCGAUGUCAGAUUAGCUAGUUGGUGGGGUAAAGGCUCACCAAGGCAACGAUCUGUAGCUGGUUUGAGAGAACGACCAGCCACACUGGGACUGAGACACGGCCCAGACUCCUACGGGAGGCAGCAGUGGGGAAUUUUGGACAAUGGGCGCAAGCCUGAUCCAGCAAUGCCGCGUGCAGGAUGAAGGCCUUCGGGUUGUAAACUGCUUUUGUACGGAACGAAACGGCUCUGGUUAAUACCCGGGGCUAAUGACGGUACCGUAAGAAUAAGCACCGGCUAACUACGUGCCAGCCGCCGCAGUAA